rnacentral:rRNA from 1 species
GACAGAGGGUGCAAACGUUGUUCGGAAUUACUGGGCGUAAAGCGCGUGUAGGCGGCUAAGUAAGUCGGGCGUGAAAUCCCACGGCUCAACCGUGGAAGUGCACUCGAAACUGCGUAGCUAGAGUCCUGGAGAGGAAGGUGGAAUGCUUGGUGUAGAGGUGAAAUUCGUAGAUAUCAAGCGGAACACCGGUGGCGAAGGCGGCCUUCUGGACAGUGACCGACGCUGAGACGCGAAAGCGUGGGGAGCAAACAGG